GCCUGGGUGGCUCAGUCGGUUAAGCACCCGACUUCGGCUCAGGUCAUGAUCUCACAGUCCGUGAGUUCGAGCCCCACAUCGGGCU
rfam:Felis catus isolate Cinnamon breed Abyssinian chromosome A2, whole genome shotgun sequence.